rnacentral:lncRNA from 1 species
AAUGGCUGCCUGCUUGCGUCGUCGAUGACGACGAUGCGGUAGCUGCUAGCUAGUAAGUACUACGUGCAGCAGAUGGCUGCUUCCGGGCUUUCUUUCUUUCUUUGACCGGAUUCAGAGCGCCGUUUCGGGAAUUGAGAAAUGGACUCGAUCGAUCGUCGUCUCGUCUGCACAUGCAACAAUAUAAUGAGGCAAGGACGAGAGAUGCAGAUGCUAGCUUUGACCUUUUGCCAAAAGCUAGCUUCCUUCCGUGUCUGUCAUGCAUGAUGCUUGAUGCAUGCACCGUCGCCAUUCACACACGACACGGUGUGCGACCAACCAUAGCUCCGGAAGUGCCAAUAAUCCAAGGUAUGUAUAUAUGUAGGCGAAGAACAGAGACCGAUUUUUUUUUUUUCGCGAACGAAACCGCCUCCGGUGCGCGCUGGGCCAAGAAAUUGAUAGGGCUCAAUCUUACGGAUAUCAAAACCAUCGGACAAUGUUGCUGGGCUUUAAUUUCCAGCCCAGAUAAUGCCUCCUAAUGCUUGGUCGUGAUAAAGAAAGCAUUAUUGCAUUUUAGGAAACCUUGAUUUUUCUUGACUAGACCAUGUUCAUACAUUUUUUUCAGUGAAAAGAGAUCCGUCUAUUAACUAUUCAGAAACAUAACUACGUCACUAGAAAUAAUUUGCUUAACACACAGUAAAAACACAGUAAACGCCAUACGGUUCAAUUGAAUGUUUCCUAUGGUUUGCCAGUUGUUGAAGCAUAUUUGUGUAGUACUUAUUUUACUCUUUUUUCAUGUGGGUUACAGUGACUUUCUGGUACACCAUGCAUGCAUUCUGCUGCGCCAUGCGUGCCAGGCCAAGUCACACUUCUUCAGCGUCUCUGCCGUAACCAAAGAGCGCCACAGUCACACUAUUUCUAGAAGUCCCGGUACCAUUUUGUCAAAAGAAAUAAAGGAAGUCUCGGUACAUUUUAGCGCGCAGUAUUAAAAUGUUGGUAGUACCGAUUCGAUGCAGGGCGUCAAAAUGGUCCCAGAUUUUAGUUUAUAUAAGUACUAUCUUUUAGUUAAUAAACUUAAUAGUGCCAUUAGCGUGCUCCUAACCUAAAACUUUUGACCAGGGAUCAUAGGAAGUAGGUCUAAGUGGUGCGUUCUGCAGUGAGAAUCAUGCAUGGGUACAUUGUUGACAAUAUAAAUAAGCAUACCCAAUCUAGUAUUACUAACUGAAAGUCUCAACUGAAUCUCCGUGUUAAUCAUCACACACGGGCUAGAAGAAAUAAAUCAUAAAAAUUGUAAAACAAAAAAAAACAGAGAUGCAUCUAGAUAUCAAUCUGAUAUGCUCUAGCCGUUAUUGAUGGUAAUAAUCAUUGGAUCUAUUACUAACUGAAAGUCUCAACUGAAUCUCCGUGUUAAUCAUCACACACGGGCUAGAAGAAAUAAAUCAUAAAAAUUGUAAAAUAAAAAAAAACAGAGAUGCAUCUAGAUAUCAAUCUGAUAUGCUCUAGCCGUUAUUGAUGGUAAUAAUCAUUGGAUCUAUUUUUAUUUAUUUUUUUCAUAGAGACGGAUGAAAAACAUAUAUAGUAAUUAGUCCUACCACAAAAUAUGCUAUCAUUAUCAGACUAUUGUUUCAUGCUUCAAUCGGCAGUAAUAUGCUGGUUUGUGAGUUGUGACUUAACUGACAGCGUGAUAGGUUAUUCUGCACAAAAAAAAUCAUAUAAGGUCGGAUCAAAAUAAACUUGAUAUUAAAAUUAUAGAGUUCAAAGCGAUCUAAAACUUAGAAGUUGACCAAGUUUUAAAUUUGAGAUGGUACAUGUCCAAAUAUUUAAUAUAAGUUCUCAGAGCAGAAUUGAGAUGAUUAAUAACAAUGUCAAAUAGAGACAAAGUCAUCGUCAAAGAUGUAAUACUCCAUAAGAUCUACAACUUUGUUGUUAACAACUUUUUUUCAUUUAACAUCGUUUAGAGAGUCAAAUCUGUAACACCCGGCCAAGGGCUUAAUAGGAUUAAUAGGAGACUCAUACCAAUAAGUUGCAACUUCUUUUUCGGAAGCCCAUCUCCAAAGAACUCUAAAGUUAAGCGUGUUUGGCCUAGAGAAAUUUAGGGAUGGGUGGCCGACCGGGAAGUAGUUCUCGGGUGCGCACGAGUGAGGACAAAGUGUGCAGGGGUGCGCACGAGUGAGGACAAAGUGUGCAGAAAAGACUAGUGUUGGUCUGUGGGGAUUGACUAUGUCUUAGAAAAGCUGCCAGAUGUAAGCGUGCCCGACCUCAUAGAGGCGUGUUUGGAAAUGAAUAGAGAGAGAAAACAAGAAUAAAACAUUUUGUCCAGUAAUAAGAUUCUAGGCUGAUGAGCAUGCAUAUCUCCACUACUAUAUAAUCCACCAGUUGUGAACUUAACUAAAUGCACCCCAUAACCUACUGCUACAGUCAUAAGCUACAUUAAGUACACCCAGGAAGUUCUAUUUUUUGAAAUUAAGGGACAAGAUCUAUUUUAACCUCUCAUUUCUCUUACUCACUCAAAUCCAACGGAUCAUAUUGCUUGGAUCAAACCUCAUCACUCAUUCAUCGUUCCCCUCUCACGCACACCCGGCCACGCGCGAGGUGCGACUCUCCCUCUCCCCAACGCCCACC